GACCGCGUAGCUCAGUUGGAAGAGCAUUGGGCUAGUAUUCCAAAGGUCGUAGGUUCGAAUCCCACCGUGCCG